GGAAUUUUGGACAAUGGGCGAAAGCCUGAUCCAGCAAUGCCGCGUGCAGGAUGAAGGCCUUCGGGUUGUAAACUGCUUUUGUACGGAACGAAAAAGCUUCUCCUAAUACGCGAGGCCCAUUACGGUACCGUAAGAAUACACACCGGCUAACUACGUGCCAGCAGCCGCGGUAAUACGUAGGGUGCGAGCGUUAAUCGGAAUUACUGGGCGUAAAGCGUGCGCAGGCGGUUAUGUAAGACAGAUGUGAAAUCCCCGGGCUCAACCUGGGAACUGCAUUUGUGACUGCAUGGCUAGAGUACGGUAGAGGGGGAUGGAAUUCCGCGUGUAGCAGUGAAAUGCGUAGAUAUGCGGAGGAACACCGAUGGCGAAGGCAAUCCCCUGGACCUGUACUGACGCUCAUGCACGAAAGCGUGGGGAGCAAAC
rnacentral:rRNA from 1 species